UUUGACUUUCUGUCAUACUGAAUCACUCUCACUAUAUGCCAUGGUCAUUGAGGUUGUUCCUCUUACAAGGGAAUAUAUCUCUCUGCACAUCUGGGAAUUUGUGUGGAUUCACCCAAGACAUCAAAUGGAUCAUCCAGGUCUGCAUUUGUGUUUGACGAUGUGGAACACGAUGACAUCCCUACAUUUUUGGUAAGUGUGAAAAACAUCUCAAGCCAUUUCUUUACAAGCCAUUAAGUCCAAAAUAAACUGAAAGGAGAGAGAUUUCUAGGAUGCAGUGCUUUAUCUGAUCAUAAUAAAACCAAAAUUUUCAAUCAGCAAGUUUCAACAUGUACUGUAAUUGAUUGUGAGCAUAAACAACCUCUUGCAUUUCCUUAUUUUUUCUCUUACGUGAGCAAUGCAGGGGUUUCAUCAUACAGCAACAAAAGGAUUAAGAGAUCCGUGGUCAUGCCAAAAAAAUGGGGCAUUUACACAUUAUUGCAACAAUAUCGAACAAGGUCUUCAAUCACAUGAGUGAAAUUGCAAACAGGAAAGUGAACUGAAUGUUACUAAAAAGACCAACCAAGUAGCCUUUCAAGUAGCCUUUAAUCAAGUGAAUAAAUCCUGAUUUCUUCAGUGAAAACUAGCUGGCCAUUGUAAUCAUGAAGAAGUUAACAGCUUCAUGUCACAGGAAGGAAGUGAAUACCUUUUUUUGUUCUUGAAAUCCUUUAUUUGGAUGUUUUCUUGCAUGUCAUUGAGACAUAAAACAUGGAAAACAUCUAAAAAAAUGCCAGUGGGCUAAAAUGGGUUAAAUGGAAAAUUUAUACAUCUCACUGAUUUUAAACUGCUUUCACUGUUUUCCCCGGUUUCACAGAUAAGGCUUAAGCUAAUCCAUUCAUGUUUGAGCUUUUUUAACUGAAAGCAACUUGUACUGACAGAUCUUAAAAUGUGUCAGUGCCAUAGUUUUGCCAGUGCCAUGCAUGCACACCAGUAAUGUUUUUUUUUUUUCGUUUUUUUUUUUUUUAUUAUUAUUAUUAUUAUUAUUAUUAUUAAAGUUACUUAAAUAUCCUAAUUGAACUAAGACCUAAUCCUAACUUGGGCUAAACCCUUUCUGUGAAACUGAACCAUUAUGUUUAUGUAUUUCUUUCUUUCCUCACAAAACAAGUAUUUUAUGUGUUCUGGACUCUGCAGCUUAUCUGUGCAAUUUGGCUCAGUUCAUCUCUUUAUGGGCUUUCAAAUUGAUUUAUCGCUAUUAACCACAUCCAAAAUAAAAGCUUGUGUUUACAAAAAAAUAUAUAUAACGGAUCUGUGCUUUGAUAAGAUGUUAGAUAUUCUUCACUCACAUUUACAUCAUAUUUCUGUAUACUCUUCAUUAUCACAUGUGCUUGCACUGAUUCUGUAUUGUAAUUGUUUUACAAUAGCAGGUUGAAAAUGUGACACUUUUAAAAAGGAAAUGUGAAUCAUGAAAAUAAGAAUGUCACCUUAACAAGAUCAGCUGAAAUAAAACCUUUUUACAACCUGCAUCUCUGUCUACUUACUGAUAGUCACAAUAGGACUGUGGAAAUCUGUAAAACUUUGCAGUAAUCAACUGGCAGCAGCUUCAUCUGCAAAGUAUACUCUUGUUUUUACUGUUGUAAAAAUUAUCUGUAAUCUCUACAAACUAUCUGUGAAAUGCUGGCAGCACAGUUGUACUAAUCAAAACUCAAGUUAAUUCACUUAUUUUGCAGAAAUUAUCAUAAAUGACCAAUUGCCAUUUAAGUUUAUAAACUAAUAUAAUGUGUUAAUAUUGUGAGCAUAUUAAAACUGUGAACUGUGAACUCUAAGAAAAAUUCCUAAAGUGAACCAAAUAAAAAAUAAAUAAAUAAAUAAAACCAUCAUCUUGUCAAUUAAUUAACAAACAUCUUAUCACUGCAUCAGCAACUACACAGUUACUGCUUUUUAAUAACAAGCUGCACAACAUCAGCUUCUUCUUCUUUUUUUGUUUUCUUUCUUUGCACGUUGCAUCCUGUGUGCAGUUCUAAAUCAGGAUCAGGUACUGGGUGUUUCUGUGUGUUCAGCUCCUCCACGCUGAACCCCUUAUGAUCCAAAACAGAUCAGAGCAACUUUAAAUUAUAUUCUUUUAUCUAAUGAUGUUCUAUUUUAAUACGAAAUACUAUAUCCUAUAACAUCUCUAUUAAAUUAAUUCCCCAGCAGGUAUCUCACAUCCCUUUUUUUUACAUUUUGAAUUCCUUCCUAUCCUCUAUACUUCCUACAAUCAUAUAAAACAAGAUCAUUUGUUUCUUCCAACAUCAGUGUUUCUUGUUCUUUUGCGGA